rnacentral:lncRNA from 1 species
UGUUUUAGUCAACAAUGCUUCACAGAAAAUAAUUUUGUAGAAUGUAUGCCUGUUGCCCUAUUUUAGUCAACAAUGCUUCACAGAAAAUAAUUUUAAAAAACAAAUGCUGCAAACCGAGAUCGAACACACGACCUAUAAUGCUGCAAACUGGAUGCAAACCGAGAUCGAACACACGACCUAUAAUGCUGCAAACUGGAUUCGAACACAGAACCACUUUGCCACUUGCACUAAAUAGUGUUUUGGUAUUAUGGGUGGCAGAUUUAAUAUUUGACUAUAUCAAUGUGC